rnacentral:rRNA from 1 species
UAGGGAAUCUUCCGCAAUGGACGCAAGUCUGACGGAGCAACGCCGCGUGAGUGAAGAAGGAUUUCGGUUCGUAAAACUCUGUUGUUAGAGAAGAACAGCGCAUAGAGUAACUGUUAUGCGUGUGACGGUAUCUAACCAGAAAGCCACGGCUAACUACGUGCCAGCAGCCGCGGUAAUACGUAGGUGGCAAGCGUUGUCCGGAUUUAUUGGGCGUAAAGCGAGCGCAGGCGGUCAAUUAAGUCUGAUGUGAAAGCCCCCGGCUCAACCGGGGAGGGUCAUUGGAGACUGGUUGACUUGAGUGCAGAAGAGGAGAGUGGAAUUCCAUGUGUAGCGGUGAAAUGCGUAGAUAUAUGGAGGAACACCAGUGGCGAAAGCGGCUCUCUGGUCUGUAACUGACGCUGAGGCUCGAAAGCGUGGGGAGCGAACAGG